UAGGGAAUAUUGGACAAUGGGGGCAACCCUGAUCCAGCAAUGCCGCGUGAGUGAUGAAGGCCUUAGGGUUGUAAAGCUCUUUUACCCGGGAUGAUAAUGACAGUACCGGGAGAAUAAGCCCCGGCUAACUCCGUGCCAGCAGCCGCGGUAAUACGGAGGGGGCUAGCGUUGUUCGGAAUUACUGGGCGUAAAGCGCACGUAGGCGGCGAUUUAAGUCAGAGGUGAAAGCCCGGGGCUCAACCCCGGAACUGCCUUUGAGACUGGAUUGCUUGAAUCCGGGAGAGGUGAGUGGAAUUCCGAGUGUAGAGGUGAAAUUCGUAGAUAUUCGGAAGAACACCAGUGGCGAAGGCGGCUCACUGGACCGGCAUUGACGCUGAGGUGCGAAAGCGUGGGGAGCAAACA
rnacentral:rRNA from 1 species